AGUGAGCUAUUGGGUUGCACUCCUGUCCAGUGAGUACCUAGUAAGGGCAGUACGGCCAACACCCGCGUGACACGCCCAUCUCAACCACAGCUUGCCUUUACAUUGGUGCAAUUUUUGGAAAA
rnacentral:snRNA from 1 species